rnacentral:sRNA from 1 species
CUGUGUCUGGGCCGUGUACUAGGUGUGCUUGGGUUAGUGUGUAUCUGUGUCUGGGCCGUGUACUAGGUGUGCUUGGGUUGUGUCUGGGCCGUGUACUAGGUGUGCUUGGGUUGUGUCUGGGCCGUGUACUAGGUGUGCUUGGGUUAGUGUGUAUCUGUGUCUGGGCCGUGUACUAGGUGUGCUUGGGUUAGUGUGUAUCUCUGUGUCUGGGCCGUGUACUAGGUGUGCUUGGGUUAGUGUGUAUCUCUGUGUCUGGGCCGUGUACUAGGUGUGCUUGGGUUAGUGUGUACGUCUGUGUAUGAGCCGUGUACUAGGUGUGCUUGGGUUAGUGUGUACGUCUGUGUCUGGGCCGUGUACUAGGUGUGCUUGGGUUAGUGUGUAUCUCUGUGUCUGGGCCGUGUACUAGGUGUGCUUGGGUUAGUGUGUAUACAUGUGUCUGUCAAACGGUCUCUCUCCUUCUAUACACACAUAGAAUAUAAAGAUUUUCAGCUCAGGAUAAACUAUGCUAUUGAAUCCCUUACGAACCAAACAAAAACAAAAAACUCCGAGACAAAAGGAAGCGAUCUAACUACACCAGCUACUCCCCAGGGCGUCAAGUACCCAAUCAUGGGAAUCAUCUCUGUCGUCCUCUAGAUACCUAGGUGUUGGAAUCUACCACUUGUGGAGAGUACAGCAGACAAAGGGGCAACGUUCCACCCUUACGACUGCAGACAACAGCAGACUACACGUAAACAAGGUCACGAAACGGCCUGACCUCAUGAGUUACGUCACUGGAAAGACAAACACAUAAUGUCACGUGGUAAGCUCGAUACACACAUUUUAAUUUGCGCAUGUCCAUUUGCCACUU